rnacentral:rRNA from 1 species
GACGAACGCUGGCGGCGUGCUUAACACAUGCAAGUCGAACGGAAAGGCCCUGCUUUUGUGGGGUGCUCGAGUGGCGAACGGGUGAGUAACACGUGAGUAACCUGCCCUUGACUUUGGGAUAACUUCAGGAAACUGGGGCUAAUACCGGAUAGGAGCUCCUGCUGCAUGGUGGGGGUUGGAAAGUUUCGGCGGUUGGGGAUGGACUCGCGGCUUAUCAGCUUGUUGGUGGGGUAGUGGCUUACCAAGGCUUUGACGGGUAGCCGGCCUGAGAGGGUGACCGGCCACAUUGGGACUGAGAUACGGCCCAGACUCCUACGGGAGGCAGCAGUGGGGAAUAUUGCACAAUGGGCGGAAGCCUGAUGCAGCAACGCCGCGUGCGGGAUGACGGCCUUCGGGUUGUAAACCGCUUUCGCCUGUGACGAAGCGUGAGUGACGGUAAUGGGUAAAGAAGCACCGGCUAACUACGUGCCAGCAGCCGCGGUGAUACGUAGGGUGCGAGCGUUGUCCGGAUUUAUUGGGCGUAAAGGGCUCGUAGGUGGUUGAUCGCGUCGGAAGUGUAAUCUUGGGGCUUAACCCUGAGCGUGCUUUCGAUACGGGUUGACUUGAGGAAGGUAGGGGAGAAUGGAAUUCCUGGUGGAGCGGUGGAAUGCGCAGAUAUCAGGAGGAACACCAGUGGCGAAGGCGGUUCUCUGGGCCUUUCCUGACGCUGAGGAGCGAAAGCGUGGGGAGCGAACAGGCUUAGAUACCCUGGUAGUCCACGCUGUAAACGGUGGGUACUAGGUGUGGGGUCCAUUCCACGGGUUCCGUGCCGUAGCUAACGCUUUAAGUACCCCGCCUGGGGAGUACGGCCGUAAGGCUAAAACUCAAAGGAAUUGACGGGGCCCCGCACAAGCGGCGGAGCAUGCGGAUUAAUUCGAUGCAACGCGUAGAACCUUACCUGGGUUUGACAUGGAUCGGGAGUGCUCAGAGAUGGGUGUGCCUCUUUUGGGGUCGGUUCACAGGUGGUGCAUGGCUGUCGUCAGCUCGUGUCGUGAGAUGUUGGGUUAAGUCCCGCAACGAUCGCAACCCUUGUUCACUGUUGCCAGCACGUUAUGGUGGGGACUCAGUGGAGACCGCCGGGGUCAACUCGGAGGAAGGUGGGGAUGACGUCAAGUCAUCAUGCCCCUUAUGUCCAGGGCUUCACGCAUGCUACAAUGGCUGGUACAGAGAGUGGCGAGCCUGUGAGGGUGAGCGAAUCUCGGAAAGCCGGUCUCAGUUCGGAUUGGGGUCUGCAACUCGACCUCAUGAAGUCGGAGUCGCUAGUAAUCGCAGAUCAGCAACGCUGCGGUGAAUACGUUCCCGGGGCU